ensembl:lncRNA
GGAACAUGGAGCUAAUGCUAAUUUAAUAUGUUCUGUCAGAAAACCCUCACCACCUGCAGCAUGCUGUGGUCCAGUUAUUAGAUCAUAUUGUCCACUUGUCAUGAUAACAGACAUGUUCAGCUCAACAAUGGACUUCUUAUGACAGCUAUAAAGAGGGCAGGACCGGGUCAGACCUCCAGUCAGACGUGGAAGUGUCUGGGAAAAGACCACCAAGGAGGAGUGUCCGGACCCCCUGGAGAUAAGGAGCAUUGAUUGUUUGACUCAGAGGAUGUGUGACACACCACCCAAACACAUUCUUCCACCUGCCCCUACUGUUAACUUCCCCACAGUCACCCCAAACACCAUUUUCAUCCCUGUUCCCACCACCACUUUACCACCAGCAGCAGCACAUGGCUCAUUCAUAGAGAUGCUGCAGAACUGGCAGCCGAUGGACGAUAUGCCAUACUUUAUGAGGGGGCUCCCAGUAAUCAUCAGAACCAGGUCGGGCCAACUGUGAUUUCUGCUCAGCCAUCUUACUGGUAUUUGUAUAGGUUAGGAAUGAGACUAAGGAUGGAGUUGUAUAGUUUUGUAGUGUGUAUCAUUUUUAAAUAUUGUUAACUUCUUUAUCAUAGCCUUGCUGAGGGUGGUGUUAAAUUAGUGACUAAAUUAGUGAUGGUGCUGGACCAACAAACCACUGAGAUCGCUUCAACUGCAGGAAGUCCAGGUGCAGCCUUUGGAUAUUGAUGAAGAAUUACUGCCCUUGCAAGACCUUCCUCAACUGUGUAGACUGGAGCAAAUGAUGCAAUAGAGCCCAGAUUACAAGCAAAAACUGGUGAGAAUUUUUUUUUUCUUUCUUUAACAAUUGCUUGCACAAUUACACAUAUACUGAGAGUGUUACUUUUUUUCUCAAAAUGAGACACUCAUACUCAAAGCACAACAUUCAACACCACUUUGAUAUGAGGGAACAGUUAUGACCUAAUCUUUAUCAGGAACCAAGCAACCAUAAAGUCAGAUUUUUAAUUUCAUUGCAUUAUUUACAACUUGAUAUUAUGGAGUCGAGUGUAAUGUAAAAUCAAAUGACAGCUUUAACUUUAAUUGCGGAAAGACCAUGGUAAAACUAGGAUAAGCCAUGGCUAGGUGUGCAUUAAACGAUUUGAACGAGUGGUUCUUUGCCUCCACAUCAUGCAUUAAAAUCGUUUAAUGCACACCUAGCCGUGGAUUACUCCUUACAUAUCAUCUGAGAGAGACAGAUAACUCUGUAUGUAAACAGAUAUACUUACCAAUUACGACCUCUGCGAGUUGGAGAGUGACCAGUGAAGUCUUUACAUUGACUCCCCUCCAAUGGAGGUUCUUUGCCAAUGAGUUGGCAAUCACCCUCUUCAAUAUGUGCCAGGUGCAGUCGCGCACAUGUGCCCCGUCAAUAAGCGCCAACCAGUUUACCUGAAACCGAUUUUUAAAAAACAAUAAUAUAAUAUAAAAAUUAAUAAGCAUGUAUUUCCUCAUCACCUAUGUCAGUGCUUCUCACUACGCCUGCAGUUACCCUGCCCUGUGUUUUCCAUGUUUUCCUCCUCUACCAAAGAUAAGGUUCCUUUAUACAAUGUCUUGGCCUCCCCUAGAUAGUUCUAAACACUAGUUUUAAUUUUCACCUUUGUACCCCUUAAAAUGGAUUAGUAGUUAAAAACUUUUUAUUCUUGUCUUACCUUGAGAUGAGCCUCCUAGGGAAGAGUCAACAUCUGUGAACGGAAAAAUAAAAUACUAUAACAAGCAGUAGUUGUGCUUGGUCUACAUGAAAUGAAUCAAACCUCAAUGGACAUGCUGGUAGACUGAGGUUGAUGCUCAUACCAUCUGGGGUGCCUAGAGGUUCCUCAACAGGUCGCCUAGCUCUGUUCAUUCCUGUGGUAUGAAUAGUAUAGCUCAAUAUAAAGUUUCUGGUGUCACAUGUUCAUACACAAACUGUUCUACACCUUUAAGGUGAAACUGUAAAUCUCUAGCAAGAUAUCCUCCACAUCCCAAACAAAAACAGUUAAAACUGAAAGGUCUAAUUUUGUUGGGUAGUGAUUUGGUUGAUGCUUUACUUUGUGAAAUUUGUUGUCAAGGUACAGUAUAAGUCAGCUUAUUUUUGUGGUAUGUCUAUGACAAGUGCAAUAAGCAGAUGAACCUCAGCCUAUUAACAGUCAAGAUACUUUAAAUUUACUUGGCACAUAUUGACCAUAUUACUAAGUUUAACAAUGACCAUAUUGCUUCAGUAACAGGUGUGUAUAUCUGAACUAUUGUAUAAUACUUUUGUACAUCAUAUGGUACACUCAUGUUGACUUUAAUGAAUUGAUGAUUGUAUGUUUGUGCUUUUACCCAUUUCUGUUGGUGUCUGUGGAUAUGUCUCCUCAUCAUCAGUGUCUUCACUUUGCUCAGAAUCAGUCAAGUCUAUGUUCUCUAACAAAAUAUAAACAUUUUGACCAUCGGAAAAGUUGAACAUUGCAAAUGUUAGAGUAAAAAAAAUUAACAAUAAUCAUGCUGAAAUUUGAUGAAUAUUAAAUAUUAUUGAAUAAUAAAAAUUUAAGGUUUGUAUGCAAGGGAUUAUCUUUAGGCUAGGA